CGGAACCACUUUUCUAUUUCGCUCACAAAACAUAAUAAUUAAAAAAAAAAAAAACUAACAACAAACCCUAGGAUAUGCUUUGUUCAUGGAUAAUGAUGAUACAACCUUGGGACAGGUAUAAACCUUACAUGAUUUAGGUUCAUAUGCAGUUUUAUUAUUUAGGAUCCUAUGUGUUUACUAACAUAUGCAGUUUCAUGCCGCAAAAACGUAGAACAAAACCUAAAAACCCUCCAUCUCUCGCCGCCUCGAUCUCAAACUCUAUGAAGCCUCAAAAUCAAUCUUAUUGUAUCCAUGCUGUUGUGUUUGUUUUCAAGGAGAUUCAUUCAUCUAGAGCUACUGCUAGUGUUUAAAUUAGAGGGUUGGUAAACAGAUAUGGGUUUGCUUCAUUUUGGAGCAACUAAUCGAGCCAUAAAGAGAUAGCCAGGACCAUCAAUUGAAAGCCUGAACCAUUACCAGUUUGGUUUAAGGUAAUGGGUUCUGGUGUGUGUGCUCUGAGACUUGCGGGGACUGAAUUUGGAAUUGCAGCUGUUGGCGAUGGCUGAGCAGAUACAAUUCUUAGGAAGGUGGAGGAAAACUCCAGUAAAGCAUGAUUUGCCUGAGGACUAAUGUGUGGAAGCAAAAUCCAACAAGUGAUACAUUAGGUUGCGAGUUGGAAUUCAAUUGGAGUUAGAUAUUGCUACAAUGGCCAACAAGGCUUCGCCUGCACCUUUCAUAAAAAGACCAAGAAGGGAAGGUUGCAGUUGCAGUGAAGUUGGGUUUUAGGAAGAAAAUCCUGAAACAAAUACGUAAUCCAGAUCAGAUAACCAUCACCAAUGACAACCAUUCAUCGACUUCUCCACAAACGCGAUUUUUUCUUGAAAAUCCAUCGGUAAUUGGACUAUCAUUUUGGUAAAAGAAAAACUCACUUUUUUAUCACAGAUUCCACUGGGUUUGGAGAGAUUAUCAAUUGGAAUGUAGUUAAUGUUUGUAUUGAAUAAGUUUUAACGAACGAAUUGGCUUAAUUGCCAAAUUUUGUUAACUGACGUAACUCAACCUGUCUGCUCACAAACUUACUGGAUUGAUCUUAAAUGGUAUUCUGCUUUGGAUUUUGGUCAGUUACGCCUUUUACUUUUUAGACGUAAUUUUUUUUAGAUGGUGCUUUCCUUUUGUGCCUAAGUUGAUAUUCAAUAGCAUUCUUGCAUAGGUGAAUAUUAAACUGAAGAGAAAGGAGCACUCUAGCGUAUGACGUUGCAGCUCUGAACUUCGCAGAACGCGCUUCUCUGGCUUUAUUUUUUUCUUACUCUUUCAUCUGGAAAUAUCAGCAAAUGCUGAAAACCCUUUUAUAGUGUUUUCCUGUGGCAACGAAAGAAGAUGAGGAGAUGAAAGAUAUGUUAAUAUAAGAGUAUUUAAAUUCUCUAUGAAGAGGGCGCAAAUUGUGGAGAGAGUAGUUAAGAGUCACAAAUAUGGAGCUACUGUUGUUUUGUCGAGAGCAGUAAUGGCUGCAUUGUACACACUGUGUUCAGUAUCUUACUGAUACUCUCCUGCAAGCUUUGGUGGUGGUGGUGGAUGAGACUUUGAGCAAGGAAAUUGAGUUUCACUUGGGUGUUGGAAGGUAAAAUUCCAUGCUAUUGCAACUCUCAGAGUAAGGAGAUGGAAGAUUAAUUUGGGUGUUGCUUCCCCUGCUAUAGGUGUGAAAUUCAGCAGUAGCUUGGUUUGUGUUGCUUCUUUAGAUUUUUGUUUUGAUUUUCUCAUAUGCAGCUUUUGGUUUUCUUAAUUUAGACAUAUUCAAAGAAGAGGAAGAUAAUUCUGUGCUUCCACCUGUUUUGUGCUUUUUCUUUUAUUUUUGCACUGAAUGUUCAGUUUUCUUUCCGUUAAAUCUGAAGGUGAUGCAAUCAAGUAUGAUUUGGGGGUUUUAUGGAUUAACUUGCAGUGAGUCUCUUGCUUUCUGGAAGGUCAAAACUCCAGUUCCCGUCUCUUGCUGAUGUUGUAAUGCAUUUCGAUUAUGUGGUGUUCUUUUUUAGGGCUACUAAUAUGUAGUAAUGGUUGUAUUCUGUUUUAGGGCUACUAAUAUAAACUGAUAGAUGUUUUAUUAUGCGCAGACCUAACAACUUUUGAAUUCUAAUGAACACUCUUGAAGUUUUGGUUAAUUGAAUUUUAUUUUUGUAGAUUGAUUAACAACUAACGACAAUAAAUAUUUGGAACAAAAGAGUUUUUUGGAAGCUUUGCGAUUUGUAAGAGCAUCUGAAUCCACAAAGAGGGGAAAUUUGUUAGUAUAGGAGGUGCUCAAAGAUAUUGCUAUUGAAUGCUUACCAAGGAAUUCAGGUGGUCCAAAACCAAACUUAGUAGAUAUUUCUAUGGGGGAGCACAUCCGCAAAGGUAAUUAGUAUUCAAUAAUAAAAGGAUAGCUUCAAGGCGUAGACUACUAUCUGCGGUUGAAGGCAUAAAGCCAUAAACUACUGUCGGGAAUUUUGGUUCAAGUUGAGUGCAUAAAUAACGUUUGGGCUUAAUGAUGUGCUCAAAUGUUUGAGGAUCAAAACGAAAUAGAAGAAGUGAUUUUUUUUAUCAUGUUCAUCUUGUUCCAAAGAUUUUGUUUAAUGUAUACAUACUAUAUGCAGUUAAUAAUGAUUCAUCCAAAAAUUAAUGAAAGGCUAAUUUUUUAUGGAAGCAAA